GUGGGGAAUAUUGCACAAUGGGCGAAAGCCUGAUGCAGCAACGCCGCGUGAGCGAUGAAGGCCUUCGGGUCGUAAAGCUCUGUCCUCAAGGAAGAUAAUGACGGUACUUGAGGAGGAAGCCCCGGCUAACUACGUGCCAGCAGCCGCGGUAAUACGUAGGGGGCUAGCGUUAUCCGGAAUUACUGGGCGUAAAGGGUGCGUAGGUGGUUUCUUAAGUCAGAGGUGAAAGGCUACGGCUCAACCGUAGUAAGCCUUUGAAACUGAGAAACUUGAGUGCAGGAGAGGAGAGUAGAAUUCCUAGUGUAGCGGUGAAAUGCGUAGAUAUUAGGAGGAAUACCAGUUGCGAAGGCGGCUCUCUGGACUGUAACUGACACUGAGGCACGAAAGCGUGGGGAGCAAACAGGAUUAGAAACCCCUGUAGUCC
rnacentral:rRNA from 1 species